GUCACCCCAAAAAUUGGGGACCCCCUUGGGGGGGGACAGAUGGAAUGGGGGCACCCCAAAAUGGGGCCUCCUGGGGGUGCGCAGGGGCAGGGGACACCCUAAAAUGGGGACCCCAAGGGGUACGGGCACACUAGAGGGGACCCCAAAACGGGGAGCCCCUGGGAGUCCGGGGGACACCCCAAAAAGGGGUCCCCUGGGGGGGACACCCCAAAAAGGCGACACCCCAAAAUGGGGACACCCCAAAAUGGGGUCCCCUGGGGGGGUAUCCACGGAACGGGGAUCCCCCAAAAUGCCCCCCCCCGGGGGUACGGGCACCCCAAAAAGCGGGGACCCCCCUGGGGGGCACCCCAAAAUCCCCCCCCCCCCCAUGGGGACAUGGCCCGGCCACACCUCUAGCAAUAAAGCGUGUCUGUCACACC